AUUGAACGCUGGCGGCACGCCUAACACAUGCAAGUCGAGCGGUAGCAUGAUCUGUAGCAAUACAGAUUGAUGACGAGCGGCGGACGGGUGAGGAACACGUAGGAACUUGCCCAAUAGAGGGGGAUAACUAAGGGAAACUUUAGCUAAUACCGCAUAUUCUCGAGAGAGGAAAGGUGCCCGCAAGGGUGGCGCUAUUGGAGAGGCCUGCGUCCGAUGAGCUAGUUGGUGAGGUAAAGGCUCACAAAGGCGAUGAUCGGUAACUGUUCUGAGAGGACGACCAGUCAAACUGGGACUGAGACACGGCCCAGACUCCUACGGGAGGCAGCAGUGGGGAAUCUUGGACAAUGGGGGCAACCCUGAUCCAGCGAUGCCGCGUGAGUGAAGAAGGCCUUCGGGUCGUAAAGCUCUUUAGGUUGGGAGGAAGGUUAGUAUUUUAAGAGAUAACUAAUUUGACUGUACCGACAGAAUAAGCACCGGCAAACUCUGUGCCAGCAGCCGCCGUAA
rnacentral:rRNA from 1 species